rnacentral:rRNA from 1 species
UUGAACGCUGGCGGCAUGCCUUACACAUGCAAGUCGAACGGUAACAGGUUAAGCUGACGCGUGGCGAACGGGUGAGUAAUACAUCGGAACGUGCCCAGUAGUGGGGGAUAGCCCGGCGAAAGCCGGAUUAAUACCGCAUACGACCUAAGGGUGAAAGGGGGGGAUCGCAAGACCUCUCGCUAUUGGAGCGGCCGAUGUCAGAUUAGCUAGUUGGUGGGGUAAAAGCUCACCAAGGCGACGAUCUGUAGCUGGUCUGAGAGGACGACCAGCCACACUGGGACUGAGACACGGCCCAGACUCCUACGGGAGGCAGCAGUGGGGAAUUUUGGACAAUGGGCGCAAGCCUGAUCCAGCCAUGCCGCGUGCGGGAAGAAGGCCUUCGGGUUGUAAACCGCUUUUGUCAGGGAAGAAAUCCUUUGGGUUAAUACCUCGGGGGGAUGACGGUACCUGAAGAAUAAGCACCGGCUAACUACGUG